GUGCCAGCCGCCGCGGUAAUACGGAGGGUGCAAGCGUUAAUCGGAAUUACUGGGCGUAAAGGGCACGCAGGUGGCUGAGUUAGUCGGAUGUGAAAGCCCCGGGCUUAACCUGGGAACUGCAUUCGAUACUGCUCGGCUAGAGUAUGGGAGAGGAAAGUGGAAUUCCCGGUGUAGCGGUGAAAUGCGUAGAUAUCGGGAGGAACAUCAGUGGCGAAGGCGGCUUUCUGGCCCAAUACUGACACUCAUGUGCGAAAGCGUGGGGAGCAAACAGGAUUAGAUACCCUGGUAGUCCACGCUGUAAACGAUGAGAACUAGAAUGUCGGGGGGGGAUUAAGCCCUUCGGUGUCGCAAGCUAACGCGUUAAAGUUCUUCGCCUUGGGGAGUACCGGCCGCAAGGGUUGAAACUUAAAGGAAUUGGCGGGGGAGCACCACAAGGGGUGAAGGCUGCGGUUUAAUUGGAGUCAACGCCGGGAACCUUACCGGGGCUGACAGCAGAGUGAAGGCCAGAUUGAAGCUCUUGCCAGACAAGCUGAGAGGAGGUGCAUGGCCGUCUACAGUUCGUGCCGUGAGGUGUACUGUUAAAUCAGGCAACGAACGAGACCCCCACCAUUAGUUGCCAGCGAAUUCCAACGGAAUGUCGUGUCACACUAAUGGGACUGCCAUCGAUAAGAUGGAGGAAGGAUGGGGCAACGGCAGGUCAGUAUGCCCCGAAUGCCCCGGGCCACACCCCGGAACUGCAAUGGUAGGGACAAGAGGGCUCCGACCUCGAGAGAAGGAAGGUAAUCCCUAAAACCCCUAUCUUAAGUUUGGGAUUGAGGGCUGGAACUCGCCCCUCAUGAACAUGGAAUCCCUUAGUAACCGCUGUCAUCAUCGCGCGGUGAAUACGUUGCCGCUUUUUGAAACACCGGCCGUCGUUCAACCAAGUUGAGUUUAAGAAUGAAGCUAGAUCUUCUUGGCUAUGUCCAAAUUCUGGGCUUCGAUUGAGGAAGGGAAAAGUCGUAACAACGGUAUCC
rnacentral:rRNA from 1 species